rnacentral:rRNA from 1 species
GAACGCUAGCGACAGGCCUAACACAUGCGAAGUCGGGGGGCAGCACAAGGAGCAAUCUGAGGUGGCGACCGGCGCACGGUGAGUAACACGUAUGCAACCUGCCUGUAAGCGGGGAAUAACCCGUUGAAAGACGGACUAAUACCGCAUAAUACUAAAUUACUGCAUGGUAAUUUAUUUAAACAUUUAUGGCUUACAGAUGGGCAUGCGCAUGAUUAGCUAGUUGGAGAGGUAACGGCUCCCCAAGGCAACGAUCAUUAGGGGUUCUGAGAGGAAGGUCCCCCACACUGGUACUGAGACACGGACCAGACUCCUACGGGAGGCAGCAGUGAGGAAUAUUGGUCAAUGGACGAGAGUCUGAACCAGCCAAGUCGCGUGCAGGAAGAAUGUUCCCUAUGGAUUGUAAACUGCUUUUGCAGGGGAAUAAAGUGCAUCACGUGUGAUGUUUUGUAUGUACUCUGCGAAUAAGGAUCGGCUAACUCCGUGCCAGCAGCUGC